AAAUACGGGACCCUACGUGGUGGCUGGUGGCUGGUGGCUUCGUGGAAGAUGGAAAAUGGUUAGUCAAACAGUGGACACGUACAUAAUAAGCACAAAUCAAUCCGUUCGGUUUUGAUGUUUUAUUUUUCCCCUUUUCUACACGCAGCUACCAUUUCGUGGCUCAUCUCAAGAGGGGCAUGGAAGAAAUUAAACCAAACUGAUUUUACCCUCCUUAUAUAUUUAUAGCCCCUCAUCUCACUCAAGACUCUUGUUAUAUAAUAUGAUACACUCUCUGGUCUUUAAUUUCCUUUCUUUGAAGAUCAUUAAGAAAAGAAAAUUAAGAGUGGUGAAAAGUGGCAUAAUCAGCAUCUGGGGCACACAUGGAGAAAGGAGAAGAAUCAAAAUCCAUAAGGGUCAUAGGUGGUGAUGGGGGAAGUGUUGUAUGAAGCACAAAUCAAGGUAUUGGCGUGCCUCAAUUUGAAGACAUGGUUAAGAUGAAAACCAGCCAUGUAAUUUUAAUUGAGCCGCGUCAAUAUCUCAUCUUGCACUUCUUUCCAUCUUCAUCCCAAUCUCAAAUCCUCCCUGUAGCUGAAGCUUAAUCGUACUUCAGAUUUCUACACUGCAAAUUAGAUUGAAUGACUGGUGACCAACUUGAACAACUCUAAUGGAACCCCUUUUGCUGUCUCGUGUUGGAUUCUUUGGAAAAGUAGCAAUGCUCUUAUCUUUUGGGACAUCAGAUGGAGCGUCUGGCAAAUUAUUAACCAAGUGCAUAUUCUCCACUCAGACGUGAUUAAGGUUCUUGGUCAUCCUAAACAAGCGACUACUACUAGGCUCGUGAGUUGGGAACCCCUUUCUCUACCCUUUGUGAAGUUGAACACAAACAACAACCUAGGAGACUCAGGCUUUGGAGGUAUUAUUUAGGAUCAUCUUGGCAAUUGGAUCUCAGCUUUCUUUGGCGCGUGUGGCGUCACUACUAGCCUCAAGGCAGAGCUUUAUGCUACUUUAUAUGGUCUUCGUAAGGCGUAAGAGGAUGGUUUCAGACACAUUAUAUGUGAAAUCAAACUCAAAGCUUGUGUUACAUCUUACCCAACACACUUGUCAAUGAGUUUCAAUUCAUCCCUACUCUCCUUUGAUUCAAAUUAUUUACAAGCUUAUAGAUUUGGAAUGGACAGUCAAUUUCAAACAUACCCUUUGGGAAGGCAAUACGUAUGCCGAUUGGUUUACCAAAUAUGGUGCCAUGCAUGGAGAAACUUUUCUCAGUUGGAAUGUUUUCCCAACUUAGUAUCCCUUGUGUUGACUGAUAAAGUGGGUGUGGUUCACAUUAGGCUUUAAUUUUCUGUCUUUGUCUUUUUUUCUUUGUAUAAAAAAAAGGACUAAAGUAUCUUUUUAGUUCUUUA